AUGGGCCUUCCCUGUAGACAAGAUGCAGUUCCAUGUGCCAAAGUGUGUAUGGACAGGGAAGGGUUGUUCAUGGGAGCAUUGACCAUCUUCUUCAAGGGCAUAUCUGAUCCUACAACACUCGAAGCUAUGGCAGUAACAGAAGCUAUGGCGGUAACAGAGGCUAUGGCUCUAGCGGAGGAUCUGAAUCUUCAGGCUAUCCAUGUGUCAUCCGAUUGCAAGAUGGUUAUCGAUGACAUCCAGCAGAAUAGUGGUGCUACUUAUGGUGCUAUCAUACAUGAAAUAAUAGAAUAUUCUAGGAGUUUUAAUUCUUACAACUUUGUUCAUGAGUUUAGGAGCUCUAAUGUCGCGGCUCACAAUCUAGCGAAGCAUGCUUUAUAUUAG
rnacentral:rRNA from 1 species